rnacentral:rRNA from 1 species
GUGGGGAAUAUUGGGCAAUGGGCGAAAGCCUGACCCAGCAACGCCGCGUGAAGGAAGAAGGUCUUCGGAUCGUAAACUUCUAUCCUUGGUGAAGAUAAUGACGGUAGCCGAGAAGGAAGCCCCGGCUAACUACGUGCCAGCAGCCGCGGUAAUACGUAGGGGGCAAGCGUUGUCCGGAAUGAUUGGGCGUAAAGGGCGCGUAGGCGGCCUGGUAAGUCUGGAGUGAAAGUCCUGCUUUUAAGGUGGGAAUUGCUUUGGAUACUGUCGGGCUUGAGUGCAGGAGAGGUAAGUGGAGUUCCCGGUGUAGCGGUGAAAUGCGUAGAGAUCGGGAGGAACACCAGUGGCGAAGGCGACUUACUGGACUGUAACUGACGCUGAGGCGCGAAAGUGUGGGGAGCAAACAGGAUUAGAAACCCCGGUAGUCC